rnacentral:rRNA from 1 species
AUACGAAGGGGGCUAGCGUUGUUCGGAAGUUACUGGGCGUAAAGCGCAUGUAGGCGGACAUUUAAGUCAGGGGUGGAAAUCCCGGGGCUCAACCUCGGAACUGCCUUUGAUACUGGGUGUCUAGAGUGUGGAAGAGGUAAGUGGAAUUCCGAGUGUAGAGGUGAAAUUCGUAGAUAUUCGGAGGAGCACCAGUGGCGAAGGCGGCUUACUGGUCCAUUACUGACGCUGAGGUGCGAAAGCGUGGGGAGC